AGUAGUUUGAUCAUGGCUCAGAACGAACGCUGGCGGCAUGCCUAACACAUGCAAGUCGAACGAGACCUUCGGGUCUAGUGGCGCACGGGUGCGUAACGCGUGGGAAUCUGCCCUUGGGUUCGGAAUAACAGUUAGAAAUGACUGCUAAUACCGGAUAAUGUCUUCGGACCAAAGAUUUAUCGCCCAGGGAUGAGCCCGCGUAGGAUUAGCUAGUUGGUGAGGUAAAAGGCUCACCAAGGCGACGAUCCUUAGCUGGUCUGAGAGGAUGAUCAGCCACACUGGGACUGAGACACGGCCCAGACUCCUACGGGAGGCAGCAGUGGGGAAUAUUGGACAAUGGGCGAAAGCCUGAUCCAGCAAUGCCGCGUGAGUGAUGAAGGCCUUAGGGUUGUAAAGCUCUUUUACCCGGGAUGAUAAUGACAGUACCGGGAGAAUAAGCCCCGGCUAACUCCGUG
rnacentral:rRNA from 1 species